ACGGGGAGCAGCAGGCGCGAAACCUUUACACUGCACGACAGUGCGAUAAGGGAAUCCCAAGUGCGCAGGCAUAGAGCCUGCGCUUUUGUACACCGUAGGGAGGUGUACGAAUAAGGGCUGGGCAAGACCGGUGCCAGCCGCCGCGGUAAUACCGGCAGCCCGAGUGAUGGCCGAUCUUAUUGGGCCUAAAGCGUCCGUAGCUGGCCGCACAAGUCCAUCGGAAAAUCCACCCGCCCAACGGGUGGGCGUCCGGUGGAAACUGUGUGGCUUGGGACCGGAAGGCGCGACGGGUACGUCCGGGGUAGGAGUGAAAUCCCGUAAUCCUGGACGGACCGCCGAUGGCGAAAGCACGUCGCGAGGACGGAUCCGACAGAGAGGGACGAAAGCCAGGGUCUCGAACCGGAUUAGAUACCCGGGUAGUCCUGGCCGUAAACAAUGCCUGCUAGGUGUGGCUCCCGCUACGAGCGGGUGCUGUGCCGUAGGGAAGCCGCUAAGCAGGCCGCCUGGGAAGUACGUCCGUAAGGAUGAAACUCAAAGGAAUUGACGG
rnacentral:rRNA from 1 species